GCCCCCCACCAGCCGCAAAACUUAAGCAAAAUAGUCUGUUUCGUUUGUGCUUCGUUUGUGCUGGUUUGUGCAGCAAAAAUGUUCGUUUGUGCUGCUAUGGUUUUUUAGUUAUGAACGAUUCUUUUAUAGGUCAUCCAGAGUUCACCCAGCCCCCCAUCUGCUCAGAAUGGACCCAAAAUGGUAGCGUUCGUUUGUGCUUCGUUAGUGCUGGUUUGUGCAGCAAAAAUUUGCGUUUGUGCUACUUCCGUUUCGGAGAUAUUAGACAUUUAUUUUAUAGCGAUGACGUCACCCAGCCCCCCACCGGUCUCCAAAUGGACCCAAAAUGGUACCGUUCGUUUGUGCUUCGUUUGUGCAGGUUUGUGCAGCAAAAAUGUUCGUUUGUGCUACUUCCGUUUCGGAGAUAUUAGACAUUUAUUUUAUAGCGAUGACGUCACCCAGCCCCCCACCGGUCUCCAAAUGGACCCAAAAUGGUACCGUUCGUUUGUGCUUCGUUUGUGCAGGUUUGUGCAGCAAAAAAAUUCGUUUGUGCUGCGAUGGUUUUUUAGUUAUGAACGAUUCUUUUAUAGGUCAUCCAGAGUUCACCCAGCCCCCCAUCUGCUCAGAAUGGACCCAAAAUGGUACCGUUCGUUUGUGCUUCGUUAGUGCUGGUUUGUGCAGCAAAAAGUUUCGUUUGUGCUGCUUCCGUUUCGGAGAUAUUAGACAUUUAUUUUAUAGCGAUGACGUCACCCAGCCCCCCACCGGUCUCCAAAUGGACCCAAAAUGGUACCGUUCGUUUGUGCUUCGUUUGUGCAGGUUUGUGCAGCAAAAAGUUUCGUUUGUGCUGCUUCCGUUUCGGAGAUAUUAGACAUUUAUUUUAUAGCGAUGACGUCUGGUAGCCCCGCCCCCUUGUUUACUUCCGAACGACCCAAAAUAGUGUCGUUCGUUCGUUUGUGUUUCGUUUGUGCUGGUUUGUGCUGCAAAAAUGGUACCGAUUGUGCCGGCUGCUACGGUUUUGCAGAUAUUACACAUUUAAUUCAUAGCGAAGACGUCACCCAGCCCCACGUCACUGUAUUUUGUCGCGAAUUUCAAGCUCCUGGAAUGCUCCUGAUGCAGGACGAAUACAAGGUCAUUAUAGAUCUCCCAGGCAUAUGCAGUCCUCCUGCAGUAUGCCACAUAAUGCCCGAGAGAAUCCUGGGUCAGUCCUGGUUCAAAGCCAAUGACUGCUCUCAAAGUAAAGGUCUUCUCUUUUAGCUCCAGACUGGAGGGAAAUUCAAGCAAGGCAACUUCCUUGCAACUGCUACCAAGAGUUUUGAAUGAAGACGGACACCGGGAAGGAUUUUUGGCGUUCAGUGAAUCAUUCAAUUUGUCAUUUAUUUAAUACUAAUUUAUUUUCUAGAGAUGUCAUAUCCUUACUUCAUGGAUCGUUAAUUAACCAUUUGUUUGUGCCAUUGCAAUUUUUCAUUAUUAAAAUCAUGCAUCUUCAUUAA